UGGUGACUGAAACCUUGUUGGACACAUGGAACAUUGGCUGUGGAUUCUUCUUGCUGCUCUUUUCUUUGAGUGUAAAGGAGAAGACAAAGUGAUGCAGCCAUCAGGAGAUGUUCCUGCUGCUGAAGGAGACUCAGUUACACUGAAUUGUACUUUUGAGACCUCCGACUCAAGACCAACUUUGCUCUGGUACAAACAAUCAGUGAACAGUUAUCCAGAGUACAUGCUGAAACAUGUUUUAAAAGCAGGGGACAAUGCUGCAGAUUUCCCCACAAGCAGAUUUGGUGCUGAGCUCAAAGACAAAUCAGUUCCUCUGAAGAUCCAGAAGCUUGAGCUGUCUGACUCUGCUGUGUACUAC